CAAGUCGAGCGGAACGAGUUAUCUGAACCUUCGGGGGACGAUAACGGCGUCGAGCGGCGGACGGGUGAGUAAUGCCUGGGAAAUUGCCCUGAUGUGGGGGAUAACCAUUGGAAACGAUGGCUAAUACCGCAUGAUGCCUUCGGGCCAAAGAGGGGGACCUUCGGGCCUCUCGCGUCAGGAUAUGCCUAGGUGGGAUUAGCUAGUUGGUGAGGUAAGGGCUCACCAAGGCGACGAUCCCUAGCUGGUCUGAGAGGAUGAUCAGCCACACUGGAACUGAGACACGGUCCAGACUCCUACGGGAGGCAGCAGUGGGGAAUAUUGCACAAUGGGCGCAAGCCUGAUGCAGCCAUGCCGCGUGUGUGAAGAAGGCCUUCGGGUUGUAAAGCACUUUCAGUCGUGAGGAAGGUAGUGUAGUUAAUAGCUGCAUUAUUUGACGUUAGCGGCAGAAGAAGCACCGGCUAACUCCGUGCCAGCAG
rnacentral:rRNA from 1 species